rnacentral:rRNA from 1 species
CCCAAAGUUGGCAUGUGAUACCUUUUCGGAAAGUCCAAAGACAGCCCUCCGACGAAAUAAGCUGGACAAUAGAACUUUUCCAUUGACUUUUUGUCGACCCCACAUUUUGAUCUUUAAGUACUUUUUCGGGCAUUUUCGUGAUUUGGGCUAUAUUACGGACCCAAAAUUACUUGUUCAAGCAUUGUUUUCGAAUUUUUUCAUGCAUCAAAGCUCGUUAAGACUAGAUGGGGUAUCCCUACAUAGCGGGUGGGACCCACGGCGAAUGGUUCAUCAAGUCUUCAAAAAAGAAUAUAUACGAUUGCAUUGCAUAUACUAACGGAUGCGAUCAUACCAGCACUAACGCACCGGAUCCCAUCAGAACUCCGCAGCUAAGCGUGCUUGGGCGAGAGUAGUACUAGGAUGGGUGACCUCCCGGGAAGUCCUCGUGUUGCAUCCCUCUUUUAUGUUUAACCUUUUUUUUUUUGGUUAAAACUUUAUGACUCCAUAACUUAUAGACAG